AGAGCGUCGGGAUAUCGGGUGGCGGCUCGGGACGGAGGACGCGCUAGUGUUCUUCUGUGUGGCAGUUCAGAAUGAUGGAUCAAGCUAGAUCAGCAUUCUCUAACUUGUUUGGUGGGGAACCAUUGUCAUAUACCCGGUUCAGCCUGGCUCGGCAAGUAGAUGGCGAUAACAGUCAUGUGGAGAUGAAACUUGCCGUAGAUGAAGAGGAAAAUGCUGACAAUAACACAAAGGCCAAUGUCACAAAACCAAAAAGGUGUGGUGGAAGUAUCUGCUAUGGGACUAUUGCUGUGAUCAUCUUUUUCUUGAUUGGAAGCAAAUGUUACGCUAAAAAAUAUACACAGGAUACUGGUGGUGUAGAAGCUCAGUCUAACGUUUCAAGGAGGUCUUUUGGAAAAAACUACCUAUGUUUUGAAUAGGUAACUAUUUGAAAUAAAGCUAGUAUAUAAUUUAUUAAGUGACUUAAAGUAUACAAAACUGAGAUGCAUUAUAUACUUUAAAACUACUUAGAAUUUGAUGAAAACCAGUAUUUUCAAGGCUUACCUGAAA
rnacentral:sRNA from 1 species